rnacentral:rRNA from 1 species
UGGGGAAUAUUGCGCAAUGGGCGAAAGCCUGACGCGGCAACGCCGCGUGAGUGAUGAAGGUCUUCGGAUCGUAAAGCUCUGUCGGCAGGGAAGCAAACUUGGAUGGCUAACAUCCAUUCAGGCUGACGGUACCUGCAAAGGAAGCACCGGCUAACUCUGUGCCAGCAGCCGCGGUAAUACGUAGGGUGCAAGCGUUAAUCGGAAUUACUGGGCGUAAAGCGUGCGCAGGCGGUGAUGUAAGACAGAUGUGAAAUCCCCGGGCUCAACCUGGGACCUGCAUUUGUGACUGCAUCGCUGGAGUGCGGCAGAGGGGGAUGGAAUUCCGCGUGUAGCAGUGAAAUGCGUAGAUAUGCGGAGGAACACCGAUGGCGAAGGCAAUCCCCUGGGCCUGCACUGACGCUCAUGCACGAAAGCGUGGGGAGCAAA